rnacentral:rRNA from 1 species
GCAAGUCGAGCGCAAUCCUAUCUUCGGAUAGUGGAGACCGGCGGACGGGUGAGUAACGCGUGGGAACCUACCCUUUGGUUCGGAAUAACUUUGGGAAACUGAAGCUUAAUACCGGAUACGCCCCGUAAGGGGGAAAGAUUUAUUGCCGAAGGAGGGGCCCGCGUUGGAUUAGGUAGUUGGUAGGGUAAUGGCCUACCAAGCCGCCGAUCCUGGCUGUUCUGAGAGGAAGAUCAGCCACACUGGGACUGAGACACGGCCCAGACUCCUACGGGAGGCAGCAGUGGGGAAUCUUGGACAAUGGGGGAAACCCUGAUCCAGCCAUGCCGCGUGAAUGAAGAAGGCCUUAGGGUUGUAAAGUUCUUUUAGUGGGGAAGAUAAUGACGGUACGUCAGAA